GUGGGGGACAAGGAGCCCCUGUCACCCUCAUUCUUAAGAGACAGAGUGUCCCUUAGGCAUGAAGGUGGUUUGUGCCGUCUUGUCUUCCAGGAUGAUGGCUCAGCAGUCAGGUUAUCUCUCCCUUUCAUCUGCCUGCUGCUCCAUCUUCUGACUCACCACUUCCCCUCCGGCUACAGUUGUUACUGUUGGAUUCAUCAAGAUGUUUCUACUAAAGUCAUACAAACAGCUUUGACCUUGCUGCAUGUCAAUUUGAGAUCGUCAAAGUUCUGAGAUCACCAAAAUUCUGUCUGUAGCUUCACAGAGGUGCAGCUUGGAGAAGACUCUGGAUGCCAGAUGCUUGUGGCAACAUCAGCAGUGGACAGUCACCCUGGAAGCCAGCCUGGAUGUUAUGGGUCAAGAAUGGUUCUUCGGGUAGGUGGUCUUCCUCCCAAAAUUCCUGACUCCAGUCUACCCUAGAGAAACAUGUCUGACCAAAUCCAAAGAGAGGGACAUUUGACAAUGUUCUGUGGAUAAAUUAUUCUGACCUGUGCAUCACAACAUUGUCAGGGUGACCAGAAA
rnacentral:lncRNA from 1 species